GUGUCAGCAGCCGCGGUAACACGGGGGGAGCAAGCGUUGUUCGGAAUCACUGGGCGUAAAGGGCGUGUAGGCGGUUUGGUAAGUGAGAUGUGAAAUGCUUCGGCUCACCCGAAGACCUGCAUCUCAAACUGCCGGACUAGAGUAUGGGAGAGGACAAGGGAAUUCCUGGUGUAGCGGUGAAAUGCGUAGAUAUCAGGAGGAACACCGGUGGCGAAAGCGCUUGUCUGGCCCAAUACUGACGCUGAGGCGCGAAAGCUAGGGGAGCAAACGGGAUUAGAAACCCCAGUAGUCC
rnacentral:rRNA from 1 species